GACGAACGCUGGCGGCGUGCUUAACACAUGCAAGUCGAACGGAAAGGCCCUGCUUUUGUGGGGUGCUCGAGUGGCGAACGGGUGAGUAACACGUGAGUAACCUGCCCUUGACUUUGGGAUAACUUCAGGAAACUGGGGCUAAUACCGGAUAGGAGCUCCUGCUGCAUGGUGGGGGUUGGAAAGUUUCGGCGGUUGGGGAUGGACUCGCGGCUUAUCAGCUUGUUGGUGGGGUAGUGGCUUACCAAGGCUUUGACGGGUAGCCGGCUUGGGAGGGUGACCGGCCACAUUGGGACUGAGAUACGGCCCAGACUCCUACGGGAGGCAGCAGUGGGGAAUAUUGCACAAUGGGCGGAAGCCUGAUGCAGCAACGCCGCGUGCGGGAUGACGGCCUUCGGGUUGUAAACCGCUUUCGCCUGUGACGAAGCGUGAGUGACGGUAAUGGGUAAAGAAGCACCGGCUAACUACGUG
rnacentral:rRNA from 1 species